GAACGCACCUUGCGCCUUUUGGUAUUCCGAAAGGCAUGCCUGUUUGAGUGUCAUGAAAUCUCAAUCCCCCCGGGUUUUCUGAACCCGAGGUGGACUUGGACAUGGGUGUCUGCCGUCUUGUACGGCUCGCCUUAAAUGACUCAGUGGGAUCUUCAGCAUCCGUGGCAGACGUAAUAAGUUUCGUCUCGUCCCUUGCUGUGAGGACCGCUCAUAACCUGCCAUCGCGCACCACUUUUGACUCUGACCUCAAAUCAGGUAGGACUACCCGCUGAACUUAAG
rnacentral:misc_RNA from 1 species